AUACUUACCUGGCAGGGGAGACAUCAUGAUCAUGAAGGUGGUUUUCCCAGGAUGAGGCUCAUCCAUUGCACUCCAGCUGUACUGACCCCUGCAAUUUCCCCUAUGGCGGGAAAUGUGACUGCAUAUUUUUUCUUGAAAAGGUGUCUCUUUGUCCACUUUC